UUACAAUGAUAGAAUGUCAAGUAUGGACCAAUACAGCCAGUGGUGUGUGAACACUCAGAGAUCUGAUGAUCCACCAGCUAUAUCAAGCCAAAGGAAAAUUCUCAUUUGAACAGAUUCAUUCUUCGACUCCAUGAGACAAGUACCUCGCUCUCCUGCCUCACUACCAGCCUCCAAAGACAGCUUCAGAUGAAGAGCUGUUGGUCCUGCCUCCUGUACUUUCAGAAUAGAGUGCUGGGCACCUGGGUGGCUCAGUGUUUGAGCAUCUGCCUUUGGCUCAAGUUGUGAUCCUGGGGUCCUGGAAUCAAGUCCUGCAUCAGGCUCCUUGCAGGGAGCCUGCUUCUCCCUCUGCCUAUGUCUCUACCUCUCUCUCUAUGUCUCAUGAAUAAAUAAAUAAAAUCUUUA